AACCUACCCCACCUUCCUCCACCAGCCGCCAAUCGCCGCGAAGGGCUCCGCCCGUCUUGCCAAUCACAACCGAGAAAGGGGGUGGCCUUAACGCCCAAGUGGGCGGGGGAGAGAGGAAGUUUGGUUGAACUGUGCCAUCGCCGCAGUGCAGCAUCCGUAUUCGUGAAAGUCGUUACGCCACGUCGUUGGCGAUAGGGUCUAGGAGGUAAGGGAAAUUUGCGCAAGUGGCGUACCCGGUUAAUGGCGGAAGCUUGGAUGCUUCUUGCAGUCGCUGUUAGCUCCUGUGCUUCAGCCAUCAGAGAGCCCCACUUCUAAAGGCCUAGAGUUGGGAGGGAAAGGGGGGGACACGAGAUGAGGAGAGAAGGGAAUGGAAAACCUGCAAAACAUGGGAGAAGCAAAAGCAGAUAAAGUAGAAGAGAUGAAGUGAGUAUAACAGAAGAGCAACUUUGUACUGUUGACUACUCAACAGCAGGUUUGAUGAGAGCAGUGGCAUAUUUGGAAGAAUGUAUUUAUGCUGUGAAGAGGGAGACAUAAGCCAGCAAGUUUGCCAGGAAAGUGUUGCGAAGAGGCUUGGACUCACCUUACUUUGUGCAGCUGAGAGAUUCACCUAACUGACGCCUGACUCUGUUUUGGCUCUCUUGUGUUCAGAUUACAUUUUAAUUUUGUAGUGAUGGCUAGAUACUGUGAUUUUGACCUUGUUUGCUUUUUUUUGUGUGAAUUCAAGUCAUCAUAAGAAUGAAGUGCUGCACAGUUACAACGCUAAUUAGCUAGAUGGGGUGGAAGAAGUCUUACUGUGUUGAGGUCUAGGAUUGUUUAACUGUUAACGACUUCUGGAUUUAUUUUUCUGUAGACUACCAGAUAGGUUACCAUCUGUGCCACAAGGAUACAUGAUUAUUCAGUGUAGUCUUUGUCUUCCCUCUGACUAUUAAAAAAUGUAUUUGCCUAUUCCUCCAAAAUUCAGGCUGUAUUGUAUAACAUAGAAUCAUAGAAUAGUUAGGGUUGGAAAGGACCUUAAGAUCAUCCCUGAUAUGUGUUUUGGAUGCCUGUAUGCUUUGUGAUAGAUGAACUAAUAUUGGUACUUCAGUUUUUCCAUCUUUGUAAUAAUGUGUCAGUAGUCUUGGAAAGUCAUUGAUGUUGAAGUUUUGGAUUUCUGCCCUGUGAAGCACUAGCAGUAAAGCUAUAAGCUGCAUGAAAAUAUUGAUUUGGAUGCUCUUAUUAACUAGGAGAGUAUUUUUUUGAAAGGUGUUUUUGCUGAGAAUUGAAGUAAUUUGUGUGGUGAUGGUUUACAAUAGAGCUUUGCACUGAAAUAGUGCAAAAAACCUGCCCAAACCCCUAGUUGAAUGACUUCAGGAGUCCAAGAUAUGUGGCAAAAGUAGCCUGUAUGAAAGGGAACAUCCUAGUCCCAUGAGAUGCAUGUGGGAGAAAUUAAAAAUAUAACAGUAAAUAUAUUGUGGGUGGUAUGACCUAAUAAAAUACAGCUGAGUAAUAUAAAGCUGUCUGAUGUAGUACCGUUCCUGACAGGUGAUAGUGAAGUGAAGGCAGAGGGUCACCUACUGUGAUUGACAGAAGAGAUGGCCUGGAGAUUCAGACAGCAAAGUCAAGCAGAGCAAAAGAUAGCAACAACAACAAAAAUCUGUGUAACAGCUCUUCUUCCUUCGACCCAUGCUGGCUGAUUUUUUUGGAAGAGGAAAUGGGAUGAUGCAUCUCCUUCCUUUUUGGGAAGGCUGUCACCUGCUGCAGCUCUGGACUUCUUUUAUCCUAAAGGUUAGAGAGUACAAAAUGGGGAGUAUUACUUCCUCUGUCUUGGGGCAGAUUUUAUGUUAAAUGGUCCCUUUUCUUAGAAAUCUUAAUGCAUCAGUAUCUAUGAAAAAUUGUAUACUCUGUGGUAUAACAGUUUCAGAUUUAUGCUCAGAUAUAUGUAAAUAGCAAAUAGCAUUAUGCCUUUGUGUAUACUAGAAAUACUGCCUACUAGUUUGUAGUCAGUGGAAUUCAACUACUUGCAGAUAAUAAUUUAUAGGAACUGCUCUGAAGAAUCAACAUGUUUGCCUAUAACCCAUUCCAAAACAAUAAACAGAGUUGACUUCCUUCUUUGAA